rnacentral:rRNA from 1 species
AUUGAACGCUGGCGGAAUGCUUUACACAUGCAAGUCGAACGGCAGCACGGACUUCGGUCUGGUGGCGAGUGGCGAACGGGUGAGUAAUACAUCGGAACGUGCCCAGUCGUGGGGGAUAACGUAGCGAAAGCUGCGCUAAUACCGCAUACGAUCUAAGGAUGAAAGCGGGGGAUCGCAAGACCUCGCGCGAUUGGAGCGGCCGAUGGCAGAUUAGGCAGUUGGUGGGGUAAAGGCUCACCAAGCCGACGAUAUGUAGCUGGUCUGAGAGGACGACCAGACACACUGGGACUGAGACACGGCCCAGACUCCUACGGGAGGCAGCAGUGGGGAAUUUUGGACAAUGGGCGCAAGCCUGAUCCAGCCAUUCCGCGUGCAGGAUGAAGGCCCUCGGGUUGUAAACUGCUUUUGUGCGGAACGAAAAGGCUCUGGUUAAUACCUGGGGCUCAUGACGGUACCGUAAGAAUAAGCACCGACUAACUACGUGCCAGCCGCCGCAGUAA